rnacentral:rRNA from 1 species
CAGCAGCCGCGGUAAUACAUAGGGGGCAAGCGUUAUCCGGAAUUAUUGGGCGUAAAGGGUGCGUAGGCGGCUGAUUAAGUCUGGUGUGAAAUUUCACGGCUUAACCGUGAAGGGUCAUUGGAAACUGAUUGGCUUGAAUACAGAAGAGGUAAGUGGAAUUCCAUGUGUAGCGGUAAAAUGCUUAGAUAUAUGGAGGAACACCAGUGGCGAAGGCGGCUUACUGGUCUGUCAUUGACGCUGAUGCACGAAAGCGUGGGUAGCAAACAGGAUUAGAUACCCUGGUAGUCCACGCCGUAAACGAUGAGCACUAAGUGUCGGGCGAGAGCUCGGUGCUGAAGUUAACGCAUUAAGUGCUCCGCCUGGGGAGUACGGUCGCAAGACUGAAACUCAAAGGAAUUGACGGGGACUCGCACAAGCGGUGGAGCAUGUGGUUUAAUUCGACGCAACGCGAAAAACCUUACCAGGUCUUGACAUCCCUCUGACCUCACUAGAGAUAGUGAUUCCCUUCGGGGCAGAGGAGACAGGAGGUGCAUGGCC